AAGUGCGAUUGUGUAAAGUUGUUCAUGGAUGGACAAUGAAUACAAUUGAUCAUCGAUCGUAUAACUAAAUUCGAAUUGUGUAAUUUUGUCCAUUCCAUGAAGACCGAAAAGUGACCGGUCGUAUAUAAUCGUUUCAUGGAUUUGCGUUUUAUUAAUGAAAAAUAUUCGCUAAAACUCAUUAUUUUUUAACAAAUAACAAAUCAAAUCCAUGUUCAAAUGCAGUUUUUUUUUAAUAAAAUUUUAUGAUUGCACCUUAAUAACAUACUUUUAUUCAUAAAAACAUUGAAUUCGAACUAAAAAUUUACCUCUGCAAAUCAUAUAACCAAACGCAUAGAACGAAUGAAAUACGAGUUUCACUACCCGCCCCCAGGUGGCAUACAUACUUUAAGGCUAGGCAGGCUAAGUUGACUACUACUCUACAAUAGGUGGCGUUAAUGGACUACGAAAAACGACGUGAAAUGCUUACUUCUUUUUAUUUAUUUAUACUUUAAUGCCAAAAUUUUAACCUAAGGCGAACUUAAUCUCACAUUUAAUAAAUUAUACAUACUUCUUCUUAAUAAGUGUUUUGAGAAGUAGUAUUUUAAUCUAUGUUCUGUGAAUGACAAGUGUUAUCUGUCAAGUGUCAAAAAACUUGAAAAACUUUUACGAAGUUUUUGAAUUAUGUUAAAUUUGUUUAUAAACACAAGUAAGUAUAGAUUAUUACACUAAAUUAAGGCAUUCUAUCAAAAAUGAAAACAACCCAAGUUUCAAUAACUACUCCUGUAACUUUGGUUUCUUCAUAUCAAAUAAUCAAUUUCAUUUUCAGUGCCAAAGGCAAGAAUAAUUGCCCACGCCAGAUGGAGACCCAGCUAAAUAAUGUAGUAACAGCGCGUGGUCGUGUGAUGAGGGUUCCUUGACUUGAGUUCUGGCGCAACACGUCCUGGGCACUAAACAAGAUUGGGGAUGGGGCGUCUAAAGAGGUGCAAGCCUGGAAAACGCUCUCGUCUUGCUCUACAGCACUUGCACUUGUCCCACCACCUACCAGUGUUGGAACUCUUCCAAUAAUUUCCCACAUCCAGGUGGAGAAUACUCCAGUUACUGCUACUGCUACUCUAAAAUAUCUCUCAUCUUGUUCUACAGCAGCGCCUGCACCUGUCCUACCAUCUACCAGUGUUGGAACUCUUCGAAGCGUAUUAAUGAUUAUUAUUUUAGUAACCAUAAAAGUUUAAAACAAUACAUUUUAUUGCAUAAUUAUUUGUUAGAAAAAACGACAAGUACAAAUGAGUAGGGAGGCUGUUGAUUUUUCAUGGUUAUUUUAUAUCUUGUUGAUUGUUCCAAAAAAAAACUAAGUUUUCAAGAAUGCUGUGAUUAAAGUACCUAUAGUAUUAUAUUUAAAAUGAAAACUUAGUUUGUAAAGAGACGAAGGCUGACCACAAAAGAAGUACUUAUAGCUGUCUGUGUCUGUGUAAAGAAUUUAAAUAAAAAGAUGUGUAUAUUUAAA